rnacentral:lncRNA from 1 species
UGCUUCUUUAGAUGGCCAAUACUCAACUAGUUAUUGAUAUAUGUGGUUAGAUCGAAAUCUAACUCAACAAGUAGAGUCAUUAAGAUGGAAUAAACGAAGAGAAGAUGGCGGUAGGGAUCAGACCAAGAGAGAAGCUGGAGGUAGAUGGAAUAGUGAUUAGAGAGUGGAGACAAUAGAAUGACACUGAGAUAGAAUCAUUGAGAGUGUAAGACUCCAUUGACAACAAGAGUGAGAUGACAACAUCAAUAAAGCCAAGAAGGUCGAGGGUUGUCUCUCAUCGAGUGUGAGAGAAAAAGCCAACGAGUCAAUAUUUUUUUUAAGAAUUUCUGAAUUAUCUUAAAAAGUCAUUGAGUCGGUCUUCUUUUAAUUUAUACAACAUAAUGGUUCGUUAAUGUCUUGAAAAAUUAAAACACAUGCUCAUCAACAUAUGAAUUUAUAUGACACCUUCAUUAGAGAUACUCUUGGUUGC